rnacentral:miRNA from 1 species
UGAGGUAGUUGGUUGUAUAGAU